UAACAAGACUUUCCCCUGCCUUAUGCCU
rnacentral:piRNA from 1 species